ensembl:lncRNA
AGUGAAAGUAGCAGUUCCUCCUGAAGGUCAGAGAUCGCAGCAUCUGAGGGCCUCUUCAAAAGAAGACGUAGUUGAUGAAGGCGUUCUGGAGCAGGACCAGAAAGACCACGACCAAGCAGCCUUGAGAUCUUAGGCAGCGUCUCCCUCAGGUCCCUCUCUAUCUCCCCACAUCCACCAACCACUGGAACACAUCUCCAAAGUUCUGCUGGACCAGCUCAGCUUCCCCUCAGAAGAAGUGCUGCCACCUGCCAGAUGAAGGAGCCUUUUGAGAGGCAGCUGGCAUCGUGAUUGGACUGUACUUUGGUUUGUUCCAAUCCAGCUUCAGCUCCAGAGACGGCAGGCGGGACGAGUCAACGGAGGCCGGGUGGACAAAGACCAAAGAACUACAGACUCUUCACAACCUGCUCAAACUCUUGGUACAGGACCUCACCACACGGGUCAAG